GUCAGAGCCUCGGUGCCUCCCUCCCUCCCAACCUCGAUGAAUGAAGCACAGAAAAUACAGUAGCUGCUACUGAGUUCCUCCAUCUUCCCCAGAGGCUGUCUCAGCUGUCUCCUUAGCUGCUCCGAGUUUCACCCGUUUCCCUGGCCUCGAGCUUCUUGCUCAGCUGCAGCAGCUGUUACCAAGACCAAUGCACAUGACCAGCCCAGCCUUGCCACCUGACCACUGUCUGUGGAUUGGAUGGCAGGGGUCUGCACCACUUCUGGUUCCCACACAGGGCCAAUGGAUGUCCGUCUGUAUCACACACUGGCCAGGAGUGGUGAUUGGAAGUCCAGGGUAUUACAGGAAACGAACAGCAAAUGAUUGUCCCCUAGAGUAGUGUCACUCUCUUACAAAGACCCCGCUCCCUACCUGCGCAUGACCUCACCUCCUGGGCACGCUGUGGCCAGCUGGUUUGUAGAGGAAUCUGAGAACGAAGAUGCAUGUGGAAGCCUCAGAGAGCUAUCUGGCGACCUGGUUUGUUUUCUAUUGAAGUGAUAAUCAUCAUGGAAAAAAACAACUUCGGUUCAUUUGGUUUACAUGUCCUGAUGAUUUGGCCAUUAAGGAAACCCAGGCAGGAACUCACGCAGGCCUGAAUUCCAGAUGCAGAGACCAUGGAGGAUUUCUGCUUACUGGUUUACUUUUCAUGGCUUGCCCAGAUUGCCUUUUUAUACAACCCAGGACCACAGGCCCAGGGAUGGCAUCACCUGCAGUGUGUUGUGCCCUCCCAUGUCAAUCACUAAGCAAUAACAACAACAGCAAAACAACAACAAUAAAAAAAUUGUCUACAGCCAAUCUAAGGGGCAUUUUCUCAAUUGAGGACUCUGGCUUGUGGCAAAUUAACAAACAACAGCAACAAACCAACUCACUCAUCUGGGUUCCCAUCCGGCACCCCAAACCCCACAGGCACUCCACCCAUGUCUCCACUGAACAAAGAGUACUCUUCCAACUCCUUAGGCUGGAAGACCCUGCCAGGAAAUUGCCAGUCAUCCUUUCCCAGCCUCUUCCCCUGCUCAUCAGUCCCAGACCAGACCAGAUCAGACCCACUCUCCCUUUGCCCAUCUCUGGAUGCUUCCUUCCGGAGCUCGGCUCUCUCCUAACUUCUCAACAUACCUUCCCAGGUCCAGCUUCAAGAGACUCUCCCAAGAGCCCUUCCCGGCAGUUGUCCCAACCUGAUUCAUUUCUUCUCUCCCACUUCCCAGCCCUGGACCUCUACUCUGUGGAGUCGAUGAGAAGGAUCAGUAGAGGAGGAGAGACAACAAUGAAGAGAAUCCAGGGUGGGUCCUGUAAAGUCAUUUGCUGGGAGAGAAGCACGCUGUUUGUGGUGGAAGCCUGGUGGAGGCAAAGCAGGGACAUAUAAUGGAUUUCAACAAUAUGAAGCAUUCCAGAAUAUUCUAGAAUGCUGAAAGGUAAA